AUUGAACGCUGGCGGCAGGCCUAACACAUGCCAGUCGAGCGGAUGAAGGGAGCUUGCUCCUGGAUUCAGCGGCGGACGGGUGAGUAAUGCCUAGGAAUCUGCCUGGUAGUGGGGGAUAACGUCCGGAAACGGGCGCUAAUACCGCAUACGUCCUGAGGGAGAAAGUGGGGGAUCUUCGGACCUCACGCUAUCAGAUGAGCCUAGGUCGGAUUAGCUAGUUGGUGGGGUAAAGGCCUACCAAGGCGACGAUCCGUAACUGGUCUGAGAGGAUGAUCAGUCACACUGGAACUGAGACACGGACCAGACUCCUACGGGAGGCAGCAGUGGGGAAUAUUGGACAAUGGGCGAAAGCCUGAUCCAGCCAUGCCGCGUGUGUGAAGAAGGUCUUCGGAUUGUAAAGCACUUUAAGUUGGGAGGAAGGGCAGUAAGUUAAUACCUUGCUGUUUUGACGUUACCAACAGAAUAAGCACCGGCUAACUUCGUG
rnacentral:rRNA from 1 species